UACGUAGGGUGCAAGCGUUGUCCGGAAUUAUUGGGCGUAAAGGGCUCGUAGGCGGUUUGUCGCGUCGGGAGUGAAAACCUCGGGCUUAACUCGGGGCUUGCUUUCGAUACGGGCAGACUGGAGGUAUGCAGGGGAGAACGGAAUUCCUGGUGUAGCGGUGAAAUGCGCAGAUAUCAGGAGGAACACCGGUGGCGAAGGCGGUUCUCUGGGCAUGACCUGACGCUGAGGAGCGAAAGUGUGGGGAGCGAACAGG
rnacentral:rRNA from 1 species